rnacentral:piRNA from 1 species
UACUGGAUAACCCAGCAGGAGACUUCGCGU